rnacentral:SRP_RNA from 1 species
ACCGCGCUUGGUGGGGCAUGCCUGUAGUCCUAGCUACUCAGGAGGUUGAGGUGGGGGGGGGUCGCCUGGGACCAGGAGUUUUGGGCUGUGGUGAGCCGUGCCAAUCAUGUGUCCUCACUGAGGUAGGCAUCAAUAUGGUGACCUCCUGGGAGCAGGGGACCACCAAGCUGCUUAAGGAAAGGUAAACUGCCCCAGGUUGAAAACAGAGCAGGUCAAAACUCCCAUGCUGAUCAGUAGUGGGAUCGUGCCAGUGAAUAGCCACUGCACUCCAGCCUGGGCAACAUAACGAGACCCUGUCUCCA